AUACGGAGGAUCCGAGCGUUAUCCGGAUUUAUUGGGUUUGAAGGGUGCGCAGGCGGCCAUUUAAGUCAGCGGUUAAAUCGUGGGGCUCAACCCCAUUCUGCCGUUGAUACUGGGUGGCUUGAUUGCGGUCGAGGUUGGCGGAAUUCGUUGUGUAGCGGUGAAAUGCAUAGAUAUGACGAAGAACACCGAUUGCGUAGGCAGCUGACCAGACCGCAAAUGACGCUCAUGCACGAAAGUGCGGGGAUCGAACAGGAUUAGAUACCCUGGUAGUCCGCACAGUAAACGAUGAAUACUUGUUUUCGGCGAUAUAAUGUCGGAGGCAAAGCGAAAGCGAUAAGUAUUCCACCUGGGGAGUACGCCGGCAACGGUGAAACUCAAAGGAAUUGACGGGG
rnacentral:rRNA from 1 species